GACGUAGGGCGCGAGCGUUGUCCGGAUUUAUUGGGCGUAAAGAGCUCGUAGGCGGCUUGUUGCGUCGGCUGUGAAAUCCCGUGGCUUAACUGCGGGCUUGCAGCUGAUACGGGCAGACUAGAGUUCGGCAGGGGAGACUGGAAUUCCUGGUGUAGCGGUGAAAUGCGCAGAUAUCAGGAGGAACACCGAUGGCGAAGGCAGGUCUCUGGGCCGUAACUGACGCUGAGGAGCGAAAGCGUGGGGAGCGAACAGG
rnacentral:rRNA from 1 species